rnacentral:rRNA from 1 species
UACGAAGGGGGCUAGCGUUGCUCGGAAUUACUGGGCGUAAAGGGCGCGUAGGCGGACAGUUUAGUCAGAGGUGAAAGCCCAGGGCUCAACCUUGGAAUUGCCUUUGAUACUGGCUGUCUUGAGUUCGGGAGAGGUGAGUGGAAUUCCCAGUGUAGCGGUGAAAUGCGUAGAUAUUGGGAGGAACACCAGUGGCGAAGGCGGCUCACUGGACCGGUUCUGACGCUGAGGCGCGAAAGCGUGGGGAGCAAACGGG